rnacentral:piRNA from 1 species
UGUUGGAAAUGCAGAGUCUCAGACAGCAGU